UACGGAGGGAGCUAGCGUUGUUCGGAAUUACUGGGCGUAAAGCGCGCGUAGGCGGCUUUGUAAGUUAGAGGUGAAAGCCCGGGGCUCAACCCCGGAAUUGCCUUUAAGACUGCAUCGCUUGAAUCCGGGAGAGGUGAGUGGAAUUCCGAGUGUAGAGGUGAAAUUCGUAGAUAUCGUGAGGAAGACCAGUGGCGAAGGCGAGGUUCUGGACAGUUACUGACGCUGAGGCACGAAGGCUAGGGGAGCAAACGGG
rnacentral:rRNA from 1 species